CGAUCGGACCCUCCCGCCUCGGGCGGGCGCGGGGCUCGGGAGGGAGGCCGGUGCGGGAGCCGCCUGCGCAGCCCCGCCUUCCGCCCGCUCCAGAGCAGCCCCGGGCCCUAACAGCGACCAGUGACCCGUGCUCUGAGAAACCCCUCCCGGUGCCCCGCAGCCCUCGGACAGAGAGCUCGAGGCUGGAGGGCGUUUUUUGCAGAUCCGACCCAUGCCAGGGCGGUUUGUUCUCUGCUCUGCUCUUAAACGGAGGGAGGAAAAGAAAAGACAUCCACCUGGAGUCCCAAUUCCUGGACCGUUUACUUAAGAGCGUUGCCUGUCUCUGGAGCUAGAACCACAUUGCAGGAAGCAACGUUUGGGUAACUAACAAAGAGCCGCCGCCGGUGGCCCUGCUAGGUGCUUGGUGCGGCUCGUGGCCUUCGGGACGCGUGGAUGGCCAUCCUCGCAGGACCCUGCAGGCCCGGCCGACUCCGCCGCUCUCGUAUGGGAGAAACGCAGAAGGCGGGACGCGCCCCUCUUUACCCACCCAGCCUUCUCCUCCCGGAUCACUGCCCAAGCCCUGGCUCUGGAGACACCGGCCCCGCCCGGGCCUGAAAAUCCACCUCCACUGAGCAAAGACUCUGUGGCUCUGGGCUAUAAAUAUUAAUAAGCUGCGCGGCUGCGGGCUUAAUUAUCUCUCUUUAAUUGCAACUCAACCAAAAAUCCAGCCUCCUGCUACUCCGGGCCCCCUAAGUCGGGGAUCGUUUGGUUUUGGUGUCAGGAGGCUCCCUCAGCUCAAAGUCGUUCUUUGUGUUCCACUGCCCAACCUGGAAACCAUAUGCUGGGCCUCUCCGCUGGUUAAAGUCACCCUCGGACAGAUUUGAGCUGACACCUCUACACCUUGCCUUACAGUCAGUCGCCUGUGUCCCGGCCGCCUCGGGUUUCCUCCCCUUUGCCAGGGGACCUCACCUCUGUCCCUGCCCCCGCAGCCCUUGCUGCUAAAGCCUUGCUGCUAAUAGCCUCGGGGCUUUGGCAAAUAGGGGUGGUCUCCGGGUGGGAUGAGCCCCGGGUUUGACCUAAAGGCACCGAUGGUGGCCCCAGCCCUGGACAAGGCCUGCGGGCUGCGAAAGGGCCUCUUCGUCCCUGCUCCCAGGAAUGCAGCCCUGGCAGCUCCCUGGGUGGCACGGGUCGCCUGUCUGCCAGCUUUGGGGACGCCUCUUUCCCACCACCCCUGCGGCCCACUCCUUUCCCUGUGGCCCACCCCUUCCCAAGGGCUCCUCCCUGAGCCCGUUGAGGGGUCGUGUGCUGCCGAGAAGGGGCUCCAGACUACUGAGGGCCAGUCACUGCUCAGGGGCUCCGUGCGUCGUCUCCUGACCUCAGGCGUGGGGUGGUGGGCUGCUGCCAUGGCUCGCCUUCCACCGCCCUCUCUGGAGACGCCACGCCAAAGCACAGAACCAGCCAAAGUAGAGCCAGGGUCUUGGCUAGACACUACCUGCACCUGGGCUCUGUGCCCCAGGGGCUUGCCGGCCCCUAGCUGAGGCGGCCUCGGGAGCCCAGCCGCACUCACCCCGGGAAAGCGGGAGCCCUUCGGAGGACACCGCUUGUAAGAGCCGAGGAAGACCAGGCUUUCUGCCCGCAGACGUGGUUGCUCAGUCUUCUAAGGCACCACCGUAGGCCAAGAGCAGCUGUUGAAUUAUUUCCUGGCCACUUAGUUAAGUGGGAGGCAUGGUGUGCCCACAAGCAGCUGCCCAAGACAGAGAGAUACUGUCUAUUCCCCAGAGAGUAUUACGAUCAUUUAAAAUAUAACUCCUUUGUAUUUUGUAUCUAUUUACUUGAUACAUUCCCAUUUAAAUUGCAAGAGGCAAGUUAAAACUGCAAAACAAGGAUUUAGGCCGAAACAUCUAGGUUUUGGGUAAAACACAAGUAUUAAUAUUUAAAUUAGCAUCUGUUGUCUUUCAGUUUAAAAUGCAAACCUAUGGCCAAGGCCCAAUGACAAAUAACUAUGCAUUCCACAACCUGAAAUACAAGCCAUCAGUCUGUAGUGGCCACUGAGUUGCAUGAAUGGUAAACUUCCACUGAAAUGACAAGAAAUCCACCUGGAAUACUUCAAGACUGCAGCUUUUACAGGCUGUUUCUGCAGGUCACUCCAGAGGCAAGAUCAACUUUUUUAUGAACCAAAUCAAAAUUUCUUAUAUAAUUAGGCUCAAGGCUCUGGCAACAAAUAGUUAGUUGAGGCCCAGAUUUGGGGGCAUCCAUUUUGGUGGGCAGGCAGGAGGUCAGUUGCAACUAUCAUAAAAACCUGAUUUUGCAUCUUCCCCUUUCUCUGUCCCCACCAUCUAGCACUGGGUAAUCUGGGUGGGGAAGUGAGCUGGGAGGAGGAGGUGGUGGCCUUGGGCAUUUGGGCAAGUAUGGGUUUUACUUAUUAUCCCUGUCGCUGCACCCAGCAGGUGUUCAGUAAACAUUAAAGGACCCAGAGCUACAUGAGGACAAUGUGGCGUUGGCCUUCUCUAAAGGGACAUUUAGAGCUGCCUGGCUUAGAGUCAGGCCCAGAGGCUGCAUGGAGUGAAGUGUUUUGUCCCGUUUCUUUCUGCUUUGGUGGGAGCUGGGCAGCCACAAAAGCCUGCUGUGUGUCCCUUCAGAGCACAGGGCAGCAUCUGGAAAUCUUAGUAUUUCUUGGAAUGUCUUUGGAAACUUUAAUCUCAACCAAGAAGGGUUGCCAUAAGGCUGAGAUGGGCAUUUAGAAAUUGUUCUUUGUUAAUGAUAGUCUUGGGAUCUGUAUUCCCCCUUUUUAGCUUGAUAAAGACCAAAAGUCAGGUACCAACUUGUAUCACCAAAACCCUACAAAUGGCUCCUAGUCUUCCUUGACAGUAAAAGUCUGAAAGCUGCUUUUGAAUUCUGCUGGCUCAGUUUCAUCCCGCCCCUCCCCAUAUGAUGCAAUGCUAGGACAGGGCCCAGAAAGCUGCUGUGUCUGUCACCAGCAGGCUGAGUCUGCCCUCGAGGUGCCAGGGAGAAACUGGACCAACAAGAGCUCUGUUGAGUGAUCCUCCCUCCACCAAUGGAGCUGCUGCAGGAGUCGCAACAUAUACAGUUCCUUACAAAAACUCUUUACUAUCUGCAUUCACAGACAAAGAAACUGAGGCCUAGAGAGGUUAAGUGAUCAGGCUUAGGCCAUGGGAGACUUCUGUGUCUGUCCUGGGGCUUUUGCUACCACACCAGUUGCUGCAAAGUCAGUAGGAGAUACUGAGAAAUAUAAUUGGUUUUUGGAGUGAUGGUUUUGCCCUGGAAUUCACAUUGCAUCUCUGCUUUGUUUGGCAAGAGGCGCACACAAAACAAUUCUCAGCAGCAGAGAGACUAGUGGGUGCCUAAGAAGAAACCAGGUGCAGUCCAGGCAGUAGAGCCAAAGACACAAGUGGGAGCCAGGCCUUUGCACAGAACAAAGGCUUCCAGCCAGAAGAUGAAGGCAGAUAGCCGCAGGAUGGGGAAUCCCCCACCCCAGCUGGUAGUGGUGAUUGGUCUCCUGUUUCUCCUCUUCUGCCUCUUCCUUCUACCUCACCUGAUGGCUGGACACAGGCCCAGGCAACUGGCCUUGAUUAGCAAUGCAGGCCACAGACUGGGACAGUUUUGUUUUCCCUCAUGUUACAGGGUAUGUUGUUUAUCAGCCUUAGACGUUCAGCAAUUUCACGCCUGUAAUUCCUCCUGAUUUUUAUACAGCAUUGACACCCAGACACACCCGCCACUCAGGGUUAUAAAAACCAACACUAAUCUGCACCUCACACCUGGUUAGGGAUUGAGAAAACGAGCCUGGGAUCUGAAAUAAUCAAAUACAGUCUUUCUCUUUUGUGUGGAUUUUCAUAUUUUACUACUUAGAGUUGCCUAUGUCCUCAGCCUGGUGGCACAGAAGAUUUUGGAAAGAAGUAGACAGGUAUAUCAGAAGAGAGAUGGCAUUCUUUGACAUGUAGGGCUGGACUUAAUGAGCAUUUGGGAAUUUGAAGGUUUCGGGGGUAAACUACUCAUAAAUGUAUGAAAAUGGGUGCUCAGUUGCCAUUCACCAAAGCAGUGAGGCUGGUUGGUGAUGGUGGUGGACAUUUAUGAGCACUUAUUAUAUAUGUGGCACUCCUCAGCACUUGACAUGUAUGGACUCAUUUUAUCUUCACAGGAACACUGUAGGGUGAGUACUCUGACUAUACCCGUUUUCCAGAUGAGAGAACUGAGGCAUAGAGAUGUUCUGUAACAGUUCUGGAUCCCAGGCUAGGCCAGCCUGCCCCAGAGAGAAGCCAGUGACCCACUGUGCCCUUUGAAGGAGGCAAACGAAAACGUGCCACCCUCAGGACCAAAAGGAGGUUCCCACAUUUACAGAAGGGCUCAUCAGCAGUUGUUCACAAUUUUUGUACAAGACCAGAACUCUUUAAACAUCUCCUCCGAGGUCAAGUAGAUGAGAGCAUUUUCUGUAACAGAUUUUCUUCAAAAUAAUA